rnacentral:misc_RNA from 1 species
AUUGCUUCCUGUGACCUCUGCAACAGUUAGCCCGGCAGCAGCUGCAGCCUUCAAAUCUAUAUGGUCAGAGCCAACUCCGGCUGUGAGAAGCAGUUGCAAGUUUUUGGCCUUCUUAAUCCUUUCUGCCGUAACAUAGGCAGGGUGGAAGGGUGUGCUUAUGAGGACGUGGAGAUCAGGAAUAUGCUUUUCAAGUUCACAGUUUGGUCCUUCUUUGUCAUCAGUGACAAUGUAUUGGUGACCUUGUGAUUCCAACCACUCACGUAUGCCUAAAGCUC